rnacentral:ncRNA from 1 species
AGUGUAGAUCCGUCAUCGACCUGCGUCGAUUUUUAAUUUUAAAUUCAAAGAAACGGCUUGAGAUAUUCCGAGCAGUUAUAAAAAUUAAUUUGUGUCGAAUAUCGCUACUACAUUCUUGAAAAAGUGAUGUAGAUUUUUAGCCCAUAACUUUUUUUAUUUACAUCGACGAUACGGCGUCGAAGGAAAAAUAAACAGACCGUACGAAAGAAAAA